rnacentral:rRNA from 1 species
GAACGAGAAAGUGGAGCAAUCCAUGAGUAAAGUGGCGACCGGGUGAGUAACACGUGACUAACCUACCUCCGAGUGGGGAAUAACUCCGGGAAACCGGGGCUAAUACCGCAUAACAUCGCAAGAUCAAAGCAGCAAUGCGCUUGGAGAGGGGGUCGCGGCUGAUUAGCUAGUUGGCGGGGUAACGGCCCACCAAGGCGAAGAUCGGUAUCCGGCCUGAGAGGGCGCACGGACACACUGGAACUGAAACACGGUCCAGACUCCUACGGGAGGCAGCAGUGGGGAAUUUUGCGCAAUGGGGGAAACCCUGACGCAGCAACGCCGCGUGGAGGAUGAAGCCCUUUGGGGCGUANACUCCUUUCGACUCGGACGAUAAUGACGGUACGAGUGGAAGAAGCACCGGCUAACUCUGUG